UACCAAUACAAGCCGGCCGGUUUGCUGUUGCAGCUUGUUCGAAAGAGCGGAUGCGCUGUCUUCCGGUUGGUAAGCCAGCACCCGCCUUCCCCGCAAGGGGCAGGUUUGGGUACCUGGUAAACCCUUUGUGAACCAAAACAAACCUUUCGCUUCGGCAGCUGGGCCCCGUCUGGGACCCGUCAGCCUGCCGCUAGCACCAAACAAAAAAACUUGUUGUCAAAACAUUGUCUGAUAACCAAAAUUUUCGAAUGAAAAUCAAAACUUUCAACAACGGAUCUCUUGGUUCCCGCAUCGAUGAAGAACGCAGCGAAACGCGAUAGUUAAUGUGAAUUGCAGAAUUCAGUGAAUCAUCGAGUCUUUGAACGCACAUUGCGCCCAUUGGUAUUCCUUUGGGCAUGUCUGUUUGAGCGUCAUUACAACCCUCAGCUACCCGCUGGUUUUGAACCCGAACGGUUCCCCCUAACCGGGGAACCGAGCCGGUUUUAAAGUUGUAAGCUCUGCUGGCCGCUCCGCCCCAACCAGAACAUAGUAAAAUACUACUUUUGUUAGGGUCAAGCGGAACGGUUUUUCGGCCUGAACAAAACCUACCCAUUUUUCAAG
rnacentral:rRNA from 1 species